AAGGGGAGCUGGCUUUGCUACGCCCGCACACUACGAGACAAGUACUCUGACAGAACCAUAGAUGUGUUGGAGAUGAUGGACGAUGAUGAUAAGAUUGACCUUGAGCUCAUCGUGCAGCUGAUCAGGCAUAUCGUGCUGAGCCAGGAAGAAGGAGCCAUCUUGGUGUUCCUGCCAGGUUGGGACAACAUCAGUGGCCUCAAUGACCUCCUCAUGGCUCAGCAGAUGUUCAAAUCAG